GAUGAACGCUGGCGGCGUGCCUAAUACAUGCAAGUCGAGCGAACAGAUGAGGAGCUUGCUCCUCUGACGUUAGCGGCGGACGGGUGAGUAACACGUGGCUAACCUACCUAUAAGACUGGGAUAACUUCGGGAAACCGGAGCUAAUACCGGAUAAUAUAUUGAACCGCAUGGUUCAAUAGUGAAAGACGGUUUUGCUGUCACUUAUACAUGGAUCCGCGCCGCAUUAGCUAGUUGGUAAGGUAACGGCUUACCAAGGCAACGAUGCGUAGCCGACCUGAGAGGGUGAUCGGCCACACUGGAACUGAGACACGGUCCAGACUCCUACGGGAGGCAGCAGUAGGGAAUCUUGCGCAAUGGGCGAAAGCCUGACGGAGCCACGCCGCGUGCGUGAUGAAGGUCUUCGGAUCGUAAAACUCUGUUAGUAGGGAAGAACAAAUGUGUCAGUAACUAUGCACGUCUUGACGGUACCUAAUCAGAAAGCCACGGCUAACUACGUG
rnacentral:rRNA from 1 species